rnacentral:rRNA from 1 species
AGUGAACGCUGGCGGUAGGCCUAACACAUGCAAGUCGAACGGCAGCACAGUAAGAGCUUGCUCUUACGGGUGGCGAGUGGCGGACGGGUGAGGAAUACAUCGGAAUCUACUUUUUCGUGGGGGAUAACGUAGGGAAACUUACGCUAAUACCGCAUACGACCUACGGGUGAAAGCAGGGGAUCUUCGGACCUUGCGCGAUUGAAUGAGCCGAUGUCGGAUUAGCUAGUUGGCGGGGUAAAGGCCCACCAAGGCGACGAUCCGUAGCUCGUCUGAGAGGAUGAUCAGCCACACUGGAACUGAGACACGGUCCAGACUCCUACGGGAGGCAGCAGUGGGGAAUAUUGGACAAUGGGCGCAAGCCUGAUCCAGCCAUACCGCGUGGGUGAAGAAGGCCUUCGGGUUGUAAAGCCCUUUUGUUGGGAAAGAAAAGCAGCAGGUUAAUACCCCGCUGUUCUGACGGUACCCAAAGAAUAAGCACCGGCGAACUUCGU